rnacentral:rRNA from 1 species
GACGAACGCUGGCGGCGUGCUUAACACAUGCAAGUCGAGCGGUAAGGCCCUUCGGGGUACACGAGCGGCGAACGGGUGAGUAACACGUGGGUGAUCUGCCUCGCCCUCUGGGAUAAGCCUGGGAAACUGGGUCUAAUACCGGAUAGGACCUUCGGUCGCAUGGCCGUGGGUGGAACGAUUUAUCGGUGUGAGAUGGGCCCGCGGCCUAUCAGCUUGUUGGUGGGGUAAUGGCCUACCAAGGCGACGACGGGUAGCCAGCCUGAGAGGGCGACCGGCCACACUGGGACUGAGACACGGCCCAGACUCCUACGGGAGGCAGCAGUGGGGAAUAUUGCACAAUGGGCGAAAGCCUGAUGCAGCGACGCCGCGUGAGGGAUGACGGCCUUCGGGUUGUAAACCUCUUUCGACUCCGACGAAGCGCAAGUGACGGUAGGAGUAGAAGAAGCACCGGCCAACUACGUGCCAGCCGCCGCAGUAAUAC